CAUACUUCCCCAAAUUCAAGCUAGGUAUUCUUUGGCUGACUUCGCUAGGUAUUCUAGGUAUCCUUUGGUUGAAUUCGCUUUCUCUUCAACACCGCCUCCGUCCGACACCACCACCGGCGACCACCAUCGCCUACCCUCUCUCUCUUCCUUAUUCUCUUUCUUCCCCAUUUCUCCAUUUUUUCGUUCCUGCGUGCGACACCCCUGUUCGUGGAGUCACCCUCUGUCCGCGUUUUCAAGCACCGACAAGCAACCACCAACGGCGGCGACCUUCUGUGCCACUGCGACAUCACCACCACCCCACCGCCUCUCCGUUCUUCUUCCUCCUUUCAUCAAUGCAGCUUUCUUAAAAGAUUCCCUCUCUCUCUGGUGCUGCAAAGUUAGGGUUUCCUAUGACCAGCUUCUUGGAGCUUAGUUAGUUUUCUGCUUCUUUGUGAAGUAUGAGGAAUCAUCAAUAUUGAAAGAAUAUUCAGUUUUUUGCUACCGAACUCAAGAUUCUGAUAUACUCUUUUGUAAUAUUU